CACGUAGGGGGCAAGCGUUGUCCGGAUUCAUUGGGCGUAAAGAGCUCGUAGGCGGUUCGAUAAGUCGGGUGUGAAACCUCCAGGCUCAACCUCGAGACGCCGAUGGAAACCAUCUGGCUAGAGUCCGGAAGAGGAGAGUGGAAUUCCCGGUGUAGCGGUGAAAUGCGCAGAUAUCGGGAAGAACACCCGUGGCUAAGGCGGCUCUCUAGUACGGUACUGACGCUGAGACGCGAAAGCGUGGGGAGCGAACAGG
rnacentral:rRNA from 1 species